AGUGUUUCAUCCCUUCACCUGUUCCCACUUCCCCAAUCAGCCUUGCCUCUGCCUGGUCUCUCCCCCACCUGCACCUCGUUCAGUAAUCAACCUGGUCUAUAUGUACUACUUCCCUUCUUUCCUUUGUGUUUCCUUGAAGUUGCCUUGUUCCUCUGCUUAUGGGUUUUUCAUGUGGGAUAUUUCUAGAGUUCCCGAUUCCUGUGUGUGUUUUUUGCCUCCCAGUGUUCCAGCUAUCUUACCCAUCUGCAUGGGUACCGUUUUAUUCACAGGAUAAAGACACCUUGUGCCCUGUCUGCGUAACAGGAAAUGACUUCACACAGUAAGGUAGGGGCUUUAUUCAUUUAAUUUAUUAAGAUGCUACAUAGUCCAACCAGGUUGGGUUGUUUUUAUACACCAGAGAGACUACUUGACUAGGAAUAUUAAUCAUCUUCUCAGAUAGACUUAUUUAUUUAUUUAUAUACAUACAAAACAGUUUCCCGACUGCUUAUAUUGAUCACGGUGAUGGUCAGAGACUCCAGGACAGAUCAGUGUAGUGUGUUUUACAACUUGGGCCUGGAUCCAUUAGUAUUUACAUAGAAUUAUUUUUGUUUGUUUCAUCCUGCUUUGAGUACCGACAUUGCCAAGGUUUACUGCAUCAGUUAAUUAAUGUUAACAGCAUAAUCUGGUACUUGGCAAAGUAUUUUUCCUUUUGCAAAAUGUUCUGAUACUCCAACCAGGAUUCACUGAACAAGAAGAAUUUUCUGUAAGUACUAUGUGACCCAGGCCUGAAAACCCAAGAUGGGACUGUAGCUCAGGUCCGCUCUGCCCUCCCUCUAAGCAGCAAGUCAUCCUCAACCCAACAGCUUUACAGAGAUACAGUAGAAACACACACUCAUGUUUAUUUUAAUCUCUUACCCGCCAGCCAAACUUAUCAUCUUCCACUCUGCUUAACAUGAAAAGAUGGUGGAUUUUUGUAUUUUUCUUUUUCUAGCAAAGCGGAAAACACUCCUGCUUACUAAUCUUAUGAGGAUAAAAAUGUAACCAAUUGCUCUUUUUCCCCUCAAAUGAUGUAAAGUAGAAUGAAUGACACUCUCCACUGCUUUUUCCCCCUAAAUAUGCAAAUUUGGAGAUGAAGCAAUUUGUUUUUCUUUUGUUUAUUUUUGACACAAAAAUAACCAUUGGCUCUGGAACAGUACAAUGUCAUCAUGUGGUCCCCUCAAGGCUAUAGCUAGGCUGUAUGUUUUUUUUUUUUUUUUUCCCCCCCUCUUUUUUUUGAUUUAAAAAAAAAAAAAAAAGGUUGUAUGCUGCAGGAAGAUCAAAGGAGAAACACUCUUAACCUUAGUGCAUUAAAAUUGAACACAACUUCAAAUGCAGUGAGGAUAUAACGUUAAUAAGCAUUGGAUAAAUGCUGAACAAACACCAAAAACUGAACAAAGGCCUGAAGUGGAGUGAAAGAAAAACAGAAAAAAGAACCAGCAAUAAUGACCAGACCAGCAGUGGAGAACUGCAGCAGCUAGCUUAAAACACUCAGCUGAUCUCUGACAUACAUUUGCCCAAAUAAAACAGAAUGUCAACAAAUGUAUGGCUCAGUAAGAAAAUAUG